rnacentral:rRNA from 1 species
AGGAUUGCCAAUGGGGGAACCUGAUGCUUUAUACCGCGUGUGUGAUGAAGGUCUUAGGAUUGUAAAACACUUUCAGCAAGGGAAAAAAUUAUAUAAAUAAUACUUAUAUUAACUGAUAUUACCUGCAAAAGAAGUACCGGCUAACUCCGUGCCAGCAGCCGCGGUAAUACGGAGGGUACAAGCGUUAAUCGGAAUUAUUGGGCGUAAAGAGUACGUAGGUGGUAUAUUAAGUCAGAUGUGAAAUACUUAAGCUUAACUUAAGAACUGCAUAUGAAACUAAUAAACUAGAGUUUUAUAGAGGGGAGUAGAAUUCCAAGUGUAGCGGUGAAAUGCGUAGAUAUUUGGAGGAAUACCAGAGGCGAAGGCGACUCCCUGGGUAAUAACUGACACUGAGGUACGAAAGCUUGGGGACGCAAACAGGAUUAGAUACCCUGGUAGUCCAUGCUGUAAACGCAUGUCAAUUUGAAGAUUG